rnacentral:rRNA from 1 species
AAUGCCGGAUGCUCCAGUUGACCGCAUGGUCCUCUGGGAAAGCUUUUGCGGUAUGGGAUGGGGUCGCGUCCUAUCAGCUUGAUGGCGGGGUAACGGCCCACCAUGGCUUCGACGGGUAGCCGGCCUGAGAGGGCGACCGGCCACAUUGGGACUGAGAUACGGCCCAGACUCCUACGGGAGGCAGCAGUGGGGAAUAUUGCACAAUGGGCGCAAGCCUGAUGCAGCGACGCCGCGUGCGGGAUGACGGCCUUCGGGUUGUAAACCGCUUUUGACUGGGAGCAAGCCCUUCGGGGUGAGUGUACCUUUCGAAUAAGCACCGGCUAACUACGUGCCAGCAGCCGCGGUAAUACGUAGGGUGCAAGCGUUAUCCGGAAUUAUUGGGCGUAAAGGGCUCGUAGGCGGUUCGUCGCGUCCGGUGUGAAAGUCCAUCGCUUAACGGUGGAUCCGCGCCGGGUACGGGCGGGCUUGAGUGCGGUAGGGGAGACUGGAAUUCCCGGUGUAACGGUGGAAUGUGUAGAUA